AUUGAACGCUGGCGGCAGGCCUAACACAUGCAAGUCGAGCGGAGCGGCGGACGGAGGAGUAAUGCCUAGGAAUCUGCCUGUUCGUGGGUGAGAGCGACCGGAAAGGAGCGCUAAUGCAGCAUACUAUCAGAUGAGCCUAGGUCGGAUUAGCUAGUGGGUGGGGUAAAGGCCUACCAAGGCGACGAUCCGUAGCUGGUCUGAGAGGAUGAGCAGCCACACUGGAACUGUGACACGGUCCAGACUCCUACGGGAGGCAGCAGUGGGGAAUAUUGGACAAUGGGCGAAAGCCUGAUCCAGCCAUGCCGCGUGGAGGAAGAAGGUCUGCGGAUUGUAAAGCACUUUAAGUUGGGAGGCGUUACCAACAGAAUAAGCACCGGCUAACUUCGUGCCAGCAGCCGCGGUAAUAC
rnacentral:rRNA from 1 species